rnacentral:lncRNA from 1 species
UUAAGAGCUUUACAAAAUCCAGACCCGAGCUUCUGACAGAAAUUCAGAGGAGCUGCUAUCUGUGAAGUGGUAUCUGCUGGGAAAACAUCAAAGGAAGAAUGUGAAAGGAAGAAAGUGAAAAAUGUUUCACACCUGAUUCUGGAGUCAGAAGACUACCUGAUUACCCAGCAUAAUUCAUGCACAAUUUAUGCAUAAUAUAAGUUACUUCAGAAGAAGUAACAACCUAGCAGCUACUCUAUAGUUGUUGAUUGGAGGACAACAGUAGUCCAUUUCUUGUUACUGUACACAGCUAACCUUCCAGGGUCUGUGCCAUAACUUUACAUGUGAAUCUGAUAAGAUCUGCACACAACUCACAUACUGGGGAAUUUCCAUGUUAAUUUUUCAGUAUGUACAACCUAUCCUUGGUCUCUAGACCCUUAAGACAGGGCACACAGACCCUAUCAUAUGCCCUGAAGAAUCUUUGCUUGAAACAAAGAGAAUGAGGGAAAGUUGGAAGACUGCUUGAGUAUCUUCUUUCAGAAGACUGAAGAACAGAUAUUCUAGCAACAUUUUCAAAAUAAAAUAAAAUAAAAUAAAAAAUAAGCA